GGCAGCUUGGCCGAGUGGUUAAGGCGUUACGUUUAGGACAUUAGAAACCGUAAUGGGAAACCGCGUGAGUUCGAACCUCACAGCUGUCA
rnacentral:tRNA from 2 species